ensembl:lncRNA
AGUAAUGAAGGUAUUUUUAGCAAAAUAUUGGAUACACAAAUUGAAGAUUUAAUAAGAUAUAAUACAAAAGAUAAUGAAAUGGAAGAAAAGAAGUUAUAUAAAACAAAUUCUUUAACACAAAAUAUUUUAUCUCGAGCAUCUUAUCCAGGUAUUUUAUGUAAUAAAAGCAUAGAAUAUAUUUUUUCGAAUCACAAAAAAUAUCAUAUUGCACUUAAUGAACAAGAAAAUAGGUUAAUGUUAAAUUUAUGUAGAUUAUCUGAACAAGAAAAUAUAGAAAAAAAUGUAGGAGUUAAUGAAUGGUGGUGUAAUAACAAUUUGAAUGAAAUUUUGGCACAAUCAGAAGAUAACAAAAUAAUGGUUGAUAAUACAAACAUAUCUAAUAUAUUAAUAAAAUCUAGUGAUAUGUUACAUUAUAAUAAUGAAAAUUACAUGUAUAAUGAAAAUGGUGAAGUUGAUGAUAUUUUUUCAGGUGUAAGAAGCUCGUUACAUAUGUAUUUAAGGCAUACAAAUGCAUAUAAAAAUAAUUCCAUUUUAUCUGUUUGUAGUAUGGUAUCUAAUAAAAGCGGUGAAAUUAAUAAUAAACGUGUAAGUUGUUCUUAUAUUUCUAGCGAUUUGAAUAAUAUUAAUCAUUUAGAAGAUACAAAAACUGAUUCAAAUGGGGUAGUAGUAGUAGUAAAAAACCAGGUAAAUGUAAAUUAUUCAACCCAUGGAAUAAACAGAACUUAUGCUAUAACUGGUAAAAACGGUAUAAAUGGUAUAAAAGCCAAAAGUGCUAAAAAAGAUACACGUAGUUUAAAUGAAAGAAGUGGAGUAAAAGAGAGAUAUAACCCAAAUAAUGUAGAUGGUGUACCAAAUGUAUAUGACAAAGAUAAUAUGGAUGCUAUAGAUGCUAUAACAGAUCAAGAACUUUUAAAGGAAAUGCUGGAAGAACAGAUACGAAUAUGUUCUCAAUUUAGAAGAAAAGAACCGUUACCUGCUUUUAGACAGAUAGAUGAUAUAUUGAAAUUAAGUAGCACUUAUUAUGAUCAAAAAAUAGAGGAAGAAAAAAAUUAUAUGUGUUUUGUAGAAAAUUUCGAAAAUCAAAUGUUUAUGCAAAACUGUAUGAAUAAUGAUUCUUAUGUACAGAAUUUUUUAUAUAAUAAUGCAAGGGCCAGUGAUUCGGCAUGUAUAAAUAAGUUUGUCUUCGAUAAAAUACAACAACAACAACAACAAGAACAGCAGCAACAGGAACAGGAGCAAGAACAGAUACGGUUACAACAACUACGAGAAAUACUACAACUACAAGAGCCUAACCCAUCAUUUGAUGAACUACAUAAUUUAGAAAAUAAUCAAAUGCAUGAAGUGAUAAAGCAUGUUAUUGUAGUAAACAAAAACAAUACGAAGAAGUUAAUUGAUAUAACUGAUCAAUUAAACACAUAUGCACAUGCACAAAACCAAACUAGAGCUAAUAACAACAUGCUAGAAAAUGUAGCUUUACCAUUGCAACCAUUAGCAGAAGAAGAAGCGAAAGAGUUGGAAGUAGAAGCCGUAGCAGUAACAGUAGCAGAAGAGUCGGAAGUAGAAGCCGUAGCAGUAACAGUAGCAGAAGAAUCGGAAGUAGAAUCCGUAGCAGUAACAGUAGCAGAAGAGUUGGAAGUAGAAUCCGUAGAAGUAGCAGAAGAGUUGGAAGUAGAAGCCGUAGAAGUAGCAGAAGAGUCGGAAGUAGAAGCCGUAGAAGUC